rnacentral:rRNA from 1 species
AAUGAACGCUGGCGGCGUGCUUAACACAUGCAAGUCGAACGAGAAAGGCUGAUUUCGGUUGGCCGAGUAAAGUGGCGCACGGGUGAGUAACGCGUAGGCAACCUACCCUUGUAUUGGGGAUAACCCCGCGAAAGCGGGGCUAAUACCGAAUAAGACCCAAUUUCGGUGGGAAUUGGGUGAAAGUCGGCCACUCGAAGAAGCUGACGUACGAGGAUGGGCCUGCGUCCUAUCAGCUAGUUGGUGGGGUAGCGGCCUACCAAGGCGACGACGGGUAGCCGGACUGAGAGGAUGAUCAGCCACACUGGCACGGGGACACGGGCCAGACUCCUACGGGAGGCAGCAGUGAGGAAUUUUGCGCAAUGGCCGCAAGGCUGACGCAGCAACGCCGCGUGGGUGAUGAAGGCCUUCGGGUCGUAAAGCCCUGUCAGGUGGGAAGAAAGGUCUAGGGAAGCAACGCCUUGGAUUUGACGGUACCACCAGAGGAAGCACCGGCUAACUCCGUGCCAGCCGCCGCCGUAAAAC